AACGAACGCUCUCGGCAUGCCUAACACAUGCAAGUCGAACGAGACCUUCGGGUCUAGUGGCGCACGGGUGCGUAACGCGUGGGAACCUGCCCUUAGGUUCGGAAUAACUCCCCGAAAGGGGUGCUAAUACCGGAUAAUGUCUUCGGACCAAAGAUUUAUCGCCUUUGGAUGGGCCCGCGUUGGAUUAGCUAGUUGGUAGGGUAAAAGCCUACCAAGGCGACGAUCCAUAGCUGGUCUGAGAGGAUGAUCAGCCACACUGGGACUGAGACACGGCCCAGACUACUACGGGAGGCAGCAGUGGGUAAUAUUGGACAAUGGGCGAAAGCCUGAACCAGCAAUGCCGCGUGAGUGAUGAAGGCCUUAGGGUUGUAAAGCUCUUUUACCCGGGAUGAUAAUGACAGUACCGGGAGAAUAAGCUCCGGCUAACUCCGUG
rnacentral:rRNA from 1 species